UACGUAGGCGGAAGAUUAAGUCAGUGGUGAAAUCCCGCAGCUCAACUGUGGAACUGUCAUUGAUACUGGUUUUCUUGAAUUUAGUUGAGGUAGGCGGAAUGUGUAAUGUAGCGGUGAAAUGCUUAGAUAUUACACAGAACACCGAUUGCGAAGGCAGCUUACUAAACUAUGAUUGACGCUGAGGUACGAAAGCGUGGGGAGCGAACAGGAUUAGAUACCCUGGUAGUCC
rnacentral:rRNA from 1 species